rnacentral:lncRNA from 1 species
UCUAAGAGUCUGGACUCUAGAUCCAAGCGACUUUUUUUCCAGUGUAAGCAUGACAAGAGGUCUUGCCGAAUAUUUACGGCCAAUUUUCUCCUCUCAUUUCAGGGAUGCGUGCCUUAUACCUUGCCUGCAUGCGAUCAUACACCUUGGUAUAAGACAGAAGGCCUUAAUAAAAAAAUGUGAGUCCUUGCAAGGGGAUUAUCUUCGACCACGAUUGUCCCAAGACGUGUACGAACGCGAAGUACAAAACACCUAUUGACAAAGAUCGAAUUCGACCGACAACGUUUUACCAUAUGUUAAAGAGCGAGUUUUAUGUACGAAACGAGAUCAUGAAUUACGGCCCUGUAAUGGCAAGAGUCUAUUUAUUCGAUGAUUUUCUGGAACAACCCGUUGGAAUUUGGGAAGAAAAACCAGGCCGGCAAAGAGUCGGUUGGCUCAAGUACUUCAAAAUCAUUGGAUGGGGAACAGAGAACGGGAUCAAAUAUUGGCUUUGCGUGCACACGUGGGAUACCUGGGGUGACAAGAUUUUCAAAUUCCCGCGGGUGAAAAUUUAGACGGCGUAGAGUCCUUCGUCUCCUGUGCCGUAUUUGAGGAUCUUGAUUGAUGCAACACACCGUCGCACCAUCACCAUGAUAAACAUUUGGUGCAAAGCUCCCAAUUCUGAAACUUUAACCAUCGACAUCAUGCUAAUACUGGAUUGAUAUCAAAAUCUCGAAUUUCAGAAUUUUUAAUCCAAACUUUCCGUCAAAAGUAGACAUAUUUAGUGUGACGUCACAUCUCGAUAUAGUUUCAAUACCUCGAUGGUCGGAACGUGCCCCAACAACAAACAUAACCACCAAAGUGAAUAUUUGAAGGAAACUACAUGGAAAAUAGGCGGGGGCGGAGGGGGUGUUUGAUAACUUAAGUAUGAUGGUAGAGGCAUGUGAUGUGCUUUCGUAAUUCUACAGGCCUACGGAUUAUUUUUUUGGUAUUCGGCUAGAUUCAGCAUUCUUUCGUCAGUUGCUCGUUUUGGAGGUUAUUUAUGUCCGUAGGUUGAGCACAUUCCGACUUUCGAGGUAUCAAAACGUUAAUAUCGGCCCGUGACGUUACCACUAAAUACGUCUACAACGGACAUUGGAGCAUGAACCAACACGGUGUCUAACCCCCAUUUAUUAUCUGGUUUUUCAGACUUUACUAUGGUUUCAUAGAUGUAUGUAUGCUUUUUUUACCUGUGCCUACCUAUUGAUAAUUAAUGUUUCUGUACCUUCUGCGGGUAAAUUGAAUUCUUAUUCUUGGCGGCUUAUAUUGAUACCAAGAUUUGUAUUUGCUGUGAAUUUAUAAUUAUUUUUUUCGAUUCUUUAUGUGAAACUAUAAUACACGAUUUUGUCAUAAUAUGAAAUUGAGGGUAUCAUUAUUUUCUCUCCUUUCUUUCCUGGUGCGUUUCAAUCAAUACCUUGCAAUGACUUUAGGCUAAAAAC